ensembl:snoRNA
AGCCUCUCUCUCUUGGGGCUGUGGAGGGACCCGUUUCUCCUCAGCCAAGGAUGGAGGCCAACAUCAGCUGCUGAGCACCAUUGUCGGGACCACCAUGAGCAGGCAGUGUUGUUUUCCUGCCUCAGACAUUU